GAUGAACGCUGGCGGCGUGCCUAACACAUGCAAGUCGAACGGAGAUUACGGACGGAAGUUUUCGGAUGGAAGCCUGUAAUUCUUAGUGGCGGACGGGUGAGUAACGCGUGGGCAACCUGCCCUAUACAGGGGGAUAGCAGCUGGAAACGGCUGGUAAGACCGCAUAAGUCGGUUAAAUCGCAUGAUUUGAUCGGGAAAUGAGCAAUCAGGUAUAGGAUGGGCCCGCGUCCGAUUAGCCAGUUGGCAGGGUAAAAGCCUACCAAAGCGACGAUCGGUAGCCGGACUGAGAGGUCGGACGGCCACAGUGGGACUGAGACACGGCCCAAACUCCUACGGGAGGCAGCAGUGGGGGAUAUUGCACAAUGGAGGAAACUCUGAUGCAGCGACGCCGCGUGAGUGAAGAAGUAUUUCGGUAUGUAAAGCUCUAUCAGCAGGGAAGAUGAUGACGGUACCUGACUAAGAAGCCCCGGCUAACUACGUG
rnacentral:rRNA from 1 species